CUAAAACCAGCCCUGCUCUGAAUUACCUGUCCAUAUAUGCUUGUGUCGCUUUGCUUGGCCGGCCAAGUAGCAACGAGCUCGCCCACUCCUCGGUGGCUCGGUUCCUAGUCAGCCAAGAGAGAAGAGAGAUGGCUCGCCCCUACCACCUGACCCUCCUCCCCCUCUUCUCCUUCCUGCUCCUCACCGGCCAUGUGGCUGCCGGUCUGUCCGGAGGGAAGAAAGUCGGCAAGAUAGUGACCCUCACCAUCCAGUACCCGGCGGGCGGCUCGCCGCCGGGGGAGAAGACCACGAUCUCAGCGCACUACGUUGACGAGAACGGGGGCGCCGACCGCCGCUUCGACCUCGACUGUGACGACGACGAGCCGUACGUCUCUCUCUCUCCGACGUAUGAUUUCGUUUGGUUUAAAAAAUUCUAGCUAAGAUUUCGCUUGAACUCCAGCCUCGGUUUCGCCAUGAAGUACCUUAUCACGACCCUGGAGGGGAUACGAGAUGCGAGGGAGUCUCGGUCCGAGGUAACCAACGUUUAGUUUGCCCCCGCUCUGGUCCGUGUUCUAGCUGAUUUCAGAACACAAUGUGAGUUGCUCAUGACCUUGACCUCUGCCUCGUUGUUUCUCAGCUCUAGACUCUAGUGGUCGAUGGACCUUCACGUACGUAUGGUGCUCAGCGUGGUGGAUGGUUGCAUGUCCAGUGCCCAGUGGAGAUUGGAGAAGGAGCUCCUCUUUUCGUCUCAUGGAGGAUAAUACAUUAGGCGCCUUUUAUUUUGUGUUGUAGUAUAUGCAACCAGUGCCCAUUCGUCCAGGUAGUACUGUAGUAGUAUGGUAGUGUGCAAGGUGCUGGAGUACGCUGAUCUUCAAGUAUCUCUGGUAUAUCAUAGAUUGUGUGUGUCGCUUAACAUAAGAGGCGAUCGUGUGAAUCUCUUCAGAGUCCGUUCAAGAAAAAAAAAUUCAUAUUCUUGUGUCUUCUAUUUUAUGCAUUUUGUACAUAAUUUCUGUCAAGCGGAGGAAACUACUUUUGCUUCAGGAAAACGUUAACUAAAUAUAGCAUAACUUCAAAGUAUAAAAAAUAAUGAAGCAUACGAGCGAGAAUGUCAUUAGCCAGUACCGAGAGUCUAUGGUGAAAUUAUGGUGAAAUAGGGUAUGUGGGAUAGAGGUGCUUCUCGGCAAAAUCUGCAUGCAGGCAGGCAUGCACGAAAAUGUGAAAUCAUGUAAAACACAGUAAUGGAAAACCCACAAGGAAAGAAAAUGAAUCUUCAUGUUUUUUGGGAUGGUGAUAGCACACAGCAAGGACAAUUAUACAUGCAGCGAAAGAAAAACGGGAAACAUGCUGGAGGUUGUUGAAUAAAAGAAAUAGCGAGUGAAUAAAUAGCUAAAAAAUAUGGGUAUGUAAGGAAUUUUACGGGCUGGGAAAAUCAAGCAGAUAUACCAUUUUCGCAUGAAAGGAAGAAUCUGUUUUAACUUUCUACUGACCAGCAAAUACAAGGUGCAUGCAUUCAACACACAGUUGGGGUGGUGCUACUUCUCUUGAGAAGUUGAGGCAGACACUCGUCGAUCACACCAACCUUGAAGCAACACCAUUGACUCGUGCAUUAUCGCCCACCAAAAGCACAUGAAUCGUAAACGGUGUGCAGACCACUAGUAUGUUCCUGUAAAAUCUCAUUUUGUUUAAAAAUAUUGAACAUCAUUGUCGUGUAAUUUUUGUUAAGCAGAUAUUAAUUCAUCGUACAUCAAAAGCAAGAGCGAAACCCACUAGAGAAAUAUGAAAUGCAUAUACACUAUAAAGGAAAUAAUGUGUAUAGGAAAAGAAUAAAAAGGCGACAAUAUACGUAGCUAGCUAUGAGAGACAGCUGUUUAGAUCAAAUGAAAAAUCAUUUUGGUAUAUAUGUAAAAAUUAAGCUGCAUACUACAAAUAUAUACUUUCAACCUCUUAAAUCAAUUCCCCUAAAAGAUACUUCCUCUGUAAACUAAUAUGAGAGUGUUUAGAUAACUAAAAUAGUGAUCUAACCGCUUUUAUAUUAGUUUGCGGAGGGAGUAGCUUUCUAUUCUUAAACAAGAGUACAAGACGUCUGUUUGGACUUCCAACUGCUCCAUUGAUAAGCAAACAGAAACCACAUGCAUUGAUUCAACACACACUCUGCCAGUCAAACUGUCAGCUCGGCGCAGGUCUUGGGACAGUUGGGGCGAACGUUGAGAUAGCACUAGCAAGUACUGGCAGCUUGUACAUACGAAAGUACCUUUCUAAUCUGGAGCUCAAAUGUUUCUGCGGUGAAAAGUAAAACCGAAAACCAAUUUAGAAAAUUCACAAUUUUUUAGUGGCAAACUUUAAGAAAUGUUUGAAUUGCAUGCAAAUUUUCAUCACAAAAUCGCAUUGGUGAAAGUCGUGUAAACAAAAUUAGAGCUCCAAAAUGAUUUGAAAAUAACAUUCAGAGUAUCAAUAUAUAUUUUUAUCACGGCUUGCACCGAUGUGAUUUCGUGAUGAUUUUUGCGUGCUAUCCAAACAUUCCUUAAAGUUUGACAAACAAAAUCAUAUUUUUAAAGAAAUGAUUUUCUAUUUUAUUUUGAAUUUGUGGUUCAUCCAGGACCUCGACUGUGACGACGAUGAGCCCUAUUUUUCUAGCUAAGAUUGCAAUCGAUCUGCAGCCCCUGUCUCGGCAUAAA
rnacentral:lncRNA from 1 species